GUCCAAAAGGAUUUAUAUGGUUUUGUGUCAUGGAACCCCUAAGGUGUCAUAGUGCCCUAAGGUGGUGCUGCAUCUCGAGCUACCAGAAGGCAAGUACAAGUGAAGAUAACGUCGGAGACGUGCCGUGCUCCCCUUUCGUCAUUGCCAAAGGAGAGAACUUUCUGACUGCCGGGGUAUUUACCAUCUGUAUUGAUACCCAUGCUGUGAUCGAAUCCACCACACGGUGCCAG